GGGCCGGUAGCUCAGCGGUAGAGCAUUCGACUUUUAAUCGAAUGGUCGAGGGUUCGAUCCCCUCCCGGCCUACCA
rnacentral:tRNA from 1 species